AAUGGGUCAGCGACUUAUAUUCUGUAGCAAGGUUAACCGAAUAGGGGAGCCGAAGGGAAACCGAGUCUUAACUGGGCGUUAAGUUGCAGGGUAUAGACCCGAAACCCGGUGAUCUAGCCAUGGGCAGGUUGAAGGUUGGGUAACACUAACUGGAGGACCGAACCGACUAAUGUUGAAAAAUUAGCGGAUGACUUGUGGCUGGGGGUGAAAGGCCAAUCAAACCGGGAGAUAGCUGGUUCUCCCCGAAAGCUAUUUAGGUAGCGCCUCGUGAAUUCAUCUCCGGGGGUAGAGCACUGUUUCGGCAAGGGGGUCAUCCCGACUUACCAACCCGAUGCAAACUGCGAAUACCGGAGAAUGUUAUCACGGGAGACACACGGCGGGUGCUAACGUCCGUCGUGAAGAGGGAAACAACCCAGACCGCCAGCUAAGGUCCCAAAGUCAUGGUUAAGUGGGAAACGAUGUGGGAAGGCCCAGACAGCCAGGAUGUUGGCUUAGAAGCAGCCAUCAUUUAAAGAAAGCGUAAUAGCUCACUGGUCGAGUCGGCCUGCGCGGAAGAUGUAACGGGGCUAAACCAUGCACCGAAGCUGCGGCAGCGACAC
rnacentral:rRNA from 1 species